GACCUCCCACCCACCAUACAGGGGAACACUCGGCAGAGCCAGAGGCCUGGGCCCAAGUCCUGCCACCAGCUGGCUGUGAAACUGUGGUACAGCACCUUGUGUCCUGCCACCAGCCGGCUGUGAAACUGGUACAGCACCUUGUCCUCAGGUCCUUGGUUUCCUCACUUGUAAAUUCAUGGUUCUCCAUGGCAUCUCUGGUCUUCAACAUUAUUUUGCAUAGAGUCUCAGAAGCUUUAGUGUGAGCGGAUGAUAUGGGCACGAAGCAAGGCACCCAGAAGUGGGGGCAACUACUCUGCUUUCUAAAAUGCAAGGGAACCGGAAAAUCCAGGAGCCGUGCCAAAUGAGAAGAGGAACAAAUGGAGGAACAUCCCAGUCAAGUGACAUUCCUAGUGACAUUCACCAGAACAGAGUCAAGCUUUGGAUCCCAUGUUCUGUGACUUCCUCUUCACCACGCUUCCUCCACACACGUAGCAGCUCAAGGGUUUCUGAUGAGUGGGGUCUAUGUUCCCUUUAUGAGCUGUAACGCACACCAUGAAGGUCUGCGGCUUGGCUAUUGAGUCAGUGAGAGCGUGAACCUACUAUUAGAAGAAAAACUCUGAAUACGUCUGAACGUCAGAAAGAACGAAGUUUGGACACAUUGUCUUUAAGAACUGUAACACUCACCCCAAGGGUUUAUGGAUUCAUUCUUGAAAUCAGUGAAACCAAAAGCUUUCCAAAGUUUAACACACAGGGAAAUGACUUACUGCAAAGAACCACUCUUCCCCACGAGACUUCGAGAAGACCCGCUGUCACGGACUGAGUUGUGUCCUCUUAAAAUUCAGAUGUUGGAGUCCAAACCCCCAGUAACUCAGAGUGUGAACGUAUUUGAAGAGGUCUUUAAAGAGGUGAUGAAGGUCUUUGUCUCUGACAAUUUGCCUCUGUGACGUGGAUGGGACUGGAAGUCCAUUUGGAGCCCUGUCUUCUCCACCUAGGGAGAGAGACCCCAUGAGCUCGUCAAGCUCCUUCUGUGACUGAUCAGAGAUCCCACCGUGAGUCCAGCUCCUGGUCCCAUGCUCUGGAUAUAUCGGUCCCUGGCAGCGUGAGUGCCUCUGUGUUCACUGUCCCAUUUGAGAAUUCUAAGUAGAAUUCUGAACAGGCUGGAGCAGAUUGCCCACCCCAAGGGACAGAUGUUGGCUGGUACUGUUGGUAUUCAUGGAAGAUUCCUUCUGACACUCCCUCCUUCUUUGUAAUUGCCAUGAACUGGAGCACUGGGCCAAUAUAAAUCAUCCAAGGGUGAACACGCUGCACAUGGACGGCUCCUCUUUGUUUUUGAAGGGAUUCCAUCUCUAUUUUGCCAUGUGCUCCUUCACCCCACUCCCCACCCCCGUCUUUCAUUUCUUUCUCUGGAAAAGAUACUUCAACUCACAGGACUGCGAUGUUGAAACGGACACCCAAGAGCAUCACAGAUGGGCCAGGCCUGGACCUCUCGGGACAACAUUCCUCACGACUUUUAGAUAGAAGAGAUUAGAGAUUUGGGACUGGUGGCAACUGGUAACGUUUUCAGUGUUUGGUAAACAGCCAGGGUCCGGAGCUCUGGGAACAGCCUGAUUUAGCUCUUUGUUUAAGUUUUGUGUUAGAGGCUCCCAAGAAGCUGAUGCAGGGGAAAGAAAUUAACAACCAUGGCUCAUUCACAGCCAGGCAGCCAAAUGGACAGCUCUAUAAGACUCAAGCCGACAGCGGAGAGAGUGCAACCAAACAGCCUUGGCCCAGCUUUCAGAGGAGAACGUUAUUCACCCCAACUGCUCUGCAUCUGCCUGGAUGUCUGCCAAGAUCUGUGAGCAUUACAGCGUUGGUAUGCUUUGGGUGAGGCCUGUGGCUAUGGCAACAAGUUGGGAGCAACCCGGUCCCUGGGAAUGAGAACAGUGUCUAAAAUCAGGCAGGCGAGGGGCAGGGAGGAGAGGUAAAGGUUGGACUUGCCUGAAGAUGGAGCCGUUUUAUUGUUGUGGGUAAAGCUGCUACCAUUAGGGGCUGUUUACAGAGUGGGUGCAGCUCAAGCUGGGAGCAUGUUAGACUCAGCGACUACGAUCAACCUAUUGACUUGUUCCCAUGAGACAGAGUAAAUUAACUGUUGCAGUACUGGUCAUGUACCACCAACCUCCUGUGAACCAGCCCUCAGUGAAACAUUUAUGUGAAAGGCCAUGGUGUUCCCAUAAGAGGGUGCAUGUUCUCUCCCUUGACUAACUCUUCAGUAUGCCUCAUUCUCACGCGCUGGUGUGCAGGAAGGAGUCCAACAUGCCCCAUUGACAGUCAUGCCCUGUAUGUGGAAAGUCUUCAGGUAGAGCACUGGGCUCAGGUUUGAAGAUGUGAGUUCUAAUCCUAGCAAGGCCAUUACCUCCCAGUGACCUCAUGUCUCGAUUUCCUCAACCACAAAACAAAGGCAUUGGUGAGCUGACCUCUAAGGCCUCUCCAGUUCUCACCUUCUGUGUCUCUACAGACUGGAGACUAGAAGAUUAUGGGCACUUUUAUUGAGUCUUCAUUUUGUUUCCAUUUCUUUGUAGUCAUCAGCUGGAGUUGAGGACAAGUUUUAACAAUAGAUAGGUUUCUUUUUGUCUCUUUUUAAAAAAUUUUAUUUAAAAUAAAUGCCAAGUGUAGUGGCUCAUACCUGUAAUCCCAGCACUUUGGGGAGGCCAAGGUGGGAGGAUUGCUUUUGAGUUUGAGACCAGCCUGGGCAACGUGGUGAGACCCUGUUUGUACAAAAAAUUUUAAAUUAGCCAGGCAUGGUGGCGUGUGCCUAUAGUCCUAGCUACUCUGGAGGUAGAGGCAGGAGGAUCCCUUGAACCUGGGAGGUUGAGGCCACAGUGAGCUGUGAUUGUGCUAUUGAACUCUAGCCUGGGCAACAGAGCAAGACCCUGUCUCUUAAAAAAGACUAUUUUUUAAGAACACUUUUAGGUUCACAGCGAAAUUUGGAGGAAACUUGGCAUAUGUCAUAUGCCCCCUGCUCCCAUGCAUGCACAGCCUCUACCAUUAGCAAUGUCCCCACUCAAAUGGUACCUUUGUUGUAAUCAACAACCCUGUACUGACACAUCAUCAUCACCCAAACUCCAUAGUUCACAUUAGGUUUCACUCUUGGUGUGGUGUACAUUCCAUGGGCUUGAACAACUGUAUAAUGACAUUAUCCACCACUGCAGGAUCAUACAGAGUAGUCUCACUGCCCUAAAACUACUCUGUGCUCCACCUGUUUGUCCCUUCUUUCACUCUAAACUCCUGGCAACAACUGACCUUUUUACUGCCUCGAUAGCUUUGCCUUCUUCGGAAUGUCAUGUAGUUGAAAUCAUACAUCAUGAAGCCUUUUCAGAUUGGCUUCAUAUAGGUUUCCUUCCUUCCUUCCUCCCACCACCUUCCUUUCUUUCUGUAUUCCUAACUCUUGGAUGUAUUUUCCCCAGCAUCAUGACUUGAUGGGACUUUUGCUAAGAUAGGCAAUCAUAGAAAGUCAUAAAUCUCUUGUCAGCCUUAUUGGCUCACCUCCGAGAUGGUUCCAACACUCUUUAAGGCCCACUUUUCCAAUCCACAGAUUCCCCAGCAGAAGUCCAAGCUGCUGAGCCUCACAUCAUCUUUUGCACUAGUAAUCUUUACCACUACUUCACUGUAGCAUUUGAAAAUUUUCAUAUGAAGCCAUAGUUCUGUGUCUUUUUUUUUUUUUUUUUUUUUUUGGAGACGGAGUCUUAACCUGUUGCCCAGGCUGGAGUGCAGUGGCACAGUCUUAGCUCACUGCAAGCUCCGCCUCACGGGUUCAAGUGAUUCUUGCCUCAGCCUCCCAAGUAGCUGGGAUUACAGGCGCGCCACCAUGCCCAGCUAAAUUUGUUGGCAUUUUUAGUAGAGAUGGGGUUUCACCAUGUUGGCCAGGCUGGUCUCAAACUCCUUACCUCAGGUGAUCUGCCUGCCUCAGCCUCCCAAAGUGCUGGGAUUAAAGGUGUGAGCCACCGCACCUGGCCUGAAGCCAUAGUUCUUAACCUCAGUUGUGCAAUAGAAUUAUCUGGGGAAUUUAAAAAUUAGAAAAAACCCAUGCCCUGAAGAUUGUGAUCUAACUGGUCUUGCGUAGCGCCUGGGCAUUGGUAUUUUUUAAAUGUUUCCCAACUGAUACUAAUGUGGCCAUUCUGCAAGCCACAGUUGAAAGGCUUAUUCAAGCAUCCUGUUGCUGAAUGCAUGUCGUCCUUACCACAUGACUCUGGAGGUUUUCUUGUAUUCUGAUGUGGCUGCCCUGUUGAGGCCUGCCCCUUAGAGUGGAGAUUAUCCCCUGCAGUAGGCUGCCUGGAAUAUGAUCCCCAGUGAUCCCUGCUUCCUGGUAUUCAGGCCCUGGUGUGAUCCCUUUCCCUUGAAGCCUGGGCUGGAUUAGUGACUUGCUUCUAACCAACAGCAUAUGGCAAAAAUAAAUGUUUAUUGUUUUAAACCUCUGUUUUAGGGUCAUUUAUUACACAGCAAAGAUAACGAAUAUACUUUCUGAAAGAAGGGGAGGCUCUUUAGACAGGAACAUGUUCCUGUGGGAGCCACACCUUAUGUUGAUUUUGAAGAAUGGAGGGUCUAAUAAUGUGUCCCCAGGGGAAGUGAUAGGGGGGCCCAGACUGCUUGGGGCUGGAAAGGCAGGUGACAAAUAAGCAGAC
rnacentral:lncRNA from 1 species